UAGAGGGGAGGAUGGGUGAGUAAUGCUUAGGAAUCUGCCCAGUAGUGGGGGACAACAGUCGGAAACGGCUGCUAAUACCGCAUACGCCCUACGGGGGAAAGCAGGGGAUCUUCGGACCUUGCGCUAUUGGAUGAGCCUAAGUCGGAUUAGCUAGUUGGUGAGGUAAAGGCUCACCAAGGCCACGAUCCGUAGCUGGUUUGAGAGGAUGAUCAGCCACAUCGGGACUGAGACACGGCCCGAACUCCUACGGGAGGCAGCAGUGGGGAAUAUUGGACAAUGGGGGCAACCCUGAUCCAGCCAUGCCGCGUGUGUGAAGAAGGCUUUCGGGUUGUAAAGCACUUUCAGCGAGGAGGAAGGCUCUAAAGCUAAUACCUUUAGGGAUUGACGUUACUCGCAGAAGAAGCACCGGCUAACUCCGUGCCAGCAGCCGCGGUAAUACGGAGGGUGCAAGCGUUAAUCGGAAUUACUGGGCGUAAAGCGCGCGUAGGUGGUUGAGUAAGCGAGAUGUGAAAGCCCCGGGCUUAACCUGGGAACGGCAUUUCGAACUGCUCGGCUAGAGUGUGGUAGAGGGUAGUGGAAU
rnacentral:rRNA from 1 species